rnacentral:pre_miRNA from 1 species
UGAACCUUAGUUUUAGACGUGUUUUGGUGUGUGGGGAGCGAUAUUCCGAUUGAAACCGUCCAAAACUGAGGCUAAC